UGAGGAAUAUUGGUCAAUGGGCGCAAGCCUGAACCAGCCAAGUCGCGUGAGGGAUGACGGUCCUAUGGAUUGUAAACCUCUUUUGUCGGGGAGCAAAGCGCGGUACGAGUACCGCGAAGGAGAGUACCCGAAGAAAAAGCAUCGGCUAACUCCGUGCCAGCAGCCGCGGUAAUACGGAGGAUGCGAGCGUUAUCCGGAUUUAUUGGGUUUAAAGGGUGCGUAGGCGGAUUUGUAAGUCAGCGGUAAAAAUGCGGUGCUCAACGCCGUAUCGCCGUUGAAACUGCAGGUCUUGAGUGAGCGAGA
rnacentral:rRNA from 1 species